GACGAACGCUGGCGGCGUGCUUAACACAUGCAAGUCGAACGGUGAAGCGCCUUCCUUUUUGGUGGGUGUGGAUGAGUGGCGAACGGGUGAGUAACACGUGAGUAACCUGCCCCCUUCUUCUGGAUAACCGCAUGAAAGUGUGGCUAAUACGGGAUAUUCUGGGUCUGUCGCAUGAUGGGUCUGGGAAAGAUAUUGUUUCGGUGGGGGAUGGGCUCGCGGCCUAUCAGCUUGUUGGUGGGGUGAUGGCCUACCAAGGCGGUGACGGGUAGCCGGCCUGAGAGGGUGGACGGUCACACUGGGACUGAGACACGGCCCAGGCUCCUACGGGAGGCAGCAGUGGGGAAUAUUGCACAAUGGGCGCAAGCCUGAUGCAGCGACGCCGCGUGAGGGAUGGAGGCCUUCGGGUUGUGAACCUCUUUCGCCAGUGAAGCAGGCCUGCCUCGUUUGUGGGUGGGUUGACGGUAGCUGGAUAAGAAACGCCGGCUAACUACGU
rnacentral:rRNA from 1 species